GGGGGGUUGAGCUGCGGCGGUCCCGGUGCUCCCGCAGUGCCCCUCCCGAGCUGCCAGGCUGGAUUUUAUGGGAAUAUCGAUAGAAUUAAAGUUCCUUGUAAUUCCGUGAUAAAUGGGGUGUCUCUAGUAAGUAAGAUGAAGUGCGGUGCCGUGAAGUUGUUUAUCUGGAAAGUAAUUCUCAGAAACCUGACUUCUGACACUUGGUCAUAUAUUAAACCGGCGUCUUGAACGUUGUACUUCAGAUGCUCCUUUUCCCCCUUCCCCUCGCAGUUUGCUAUUUAUAAGACUUCGUAGGUGCGGGUGAGUUGCUGGGUAAUUUUUCACCAACUGUGAAAAGCAUCGUUUGCAACAGCCGAAGAAUUCUCUGCUUAGGAAACAGUACGGGGAGAGUGGGCUCACGAAUAGAUAACAUCUCCCGACCGUGCCAUUAUCGGCACAAACCCGUGCGGCUGCGCUGCUCCCGGCAGCCAAAAGGCAGGGAGGGCACGCUGCGAGGCGAGCAGGCUAACGACACCUAGAUGGGAUCGCAGAGGCGAUUCUGCAGACCUAAAGCAUGCUCCGACGGCACGAACAACAUGAGCGUGGUUCUGCACAGCCCCAAAGACACCCGGACAUCUGCCGGGUUUAUCUUAGAGACUGCAAUUAGUGACAAACCGAGUGCAACUCGGCUUGGCUUUCCUAUUCCUGCACACCAUCGGAACCAGCAAAAGUUCCCAGCUCACAGCAUAACCCCCCCCCCCCGCCCUCCAGGACGGCCCCAUUCCCCAGACUUGUUUUUCCCAUUGCAAGAUGAAUGUGGCACUGUAUGUCACUUAACGCGCUCACCUAUGAGAGGCACAAAAAGUGAAGGUUAUUGCUUUUUGGAACGCACACUCGCAGUGUUCCACUUGCACGUUUGAUGGAUGUCUGUGGAAACACAGCUCCGGCCCCAUCAAACUGUUUGGAUUCAGAGUGCUCCGCUUGCAAACCAGUAGAUUUCUGAGUAAACUUGAGACGAAGAGCACAAAUUUGGGUGAGCUAAGGGGGAGCCUCUUCCUUAGCACUGAUGUGGGUGAGUGCAUGCGGAGCUCUGACCUCCAGGGCAGCACUGGAGUUACUGUACAGCAUUGUUCUGGUGUGAUGAUUGCAGAGCUGCCGCCCCAAAACGGCACGGCGUAGCAGAGAGAAAGGAUUAUUAGCAAUUUUUUGGAUCACCUUCAGGAGCAGCAACGCUCUCCUCCCUCCCCUCCGCCAUUCUCACUGUAGUGCUAUUUUCCUUUAUUAUUUGGCUAUUCACGACGGCUGUCUAAACAUUUACAGUCCCCUAUUAACAGCGUUUCUCCCCAAACAAUCGCACGCUUUCAUUUCAAUUAGAGCCAUUCAGGCUCGGGUUUUGCCACCAGGCCACGUCCCAGCCCCGCUCCCUUUCCCAGCACGGACCCAGGCAGCGCACAGCCCACAUCCCCACACCUCCUGCUCACAUCCCCACACCUCCUGCCCUGCUCCAGGUUAGGAGCUCAGACCACGACGCGUUCUGCCCUGGGUGCGGAUCAAGAACAACACAUUAAGAACAGUUACCGCUCCCUUUGUUUGCCCGGUGUCUGAUUUUUAUGGUGCAGAACUAAAGAGUGCCCGCUGAAUUUGACUAUGGAAGCGGGCAAAUUGCUUUCCAAAAGGCUUCUUCGGAGCACAGUGAUAAGGCACAACCCGCUCCUAGGUGCAGCGCCAGAUAAAUCCUUUUAACAGUCCUCAGAUCAGUUAACAGGCAACUCGCAGACGCAAAUAGGAGCCGCGCUCCCUUUGAAGACACGUUCUUUAUAUAUUUUUAUUGGAGGUGUCUUUUUUAUUAAGUGGAGCACCAGCAUAUGUACCACGCAUCCCGAUUUGCUGGUGGUGCUGCGGUGUCGGAGCAGAGGGAACAGAAGCAGCGGCAAACAAACGCCAUCGAUUAAUAUCUGUUUUUGCAUCGGUGUUGCCGAAUCCAUCAUUUCCACUGCUUGCUUAUCGUGUUUCUGAAACACUCAGAAUAUCCCAAAUAAGCCCGUGUGAUCCAGAAGGAACUUCUCUCUCGGGCUGGAGGUUGGUGCCACCAGGUUUGUGCUGCACUCACCCUAUGAUGCAUGUCCCACUUUACUCGUCUCCAUGAAUGGUUCAGCCUGGAUGUGAAAAUCAAUACAGACGUCCCUGAUGCCAAAAACCUAUUUGUCUAAAAGAUAUAAAAAGUGAAAUUGCAAUAAAGAUUUUUAUCGGGC
ensembl:lncRNA